UCCAGGACUUUAAUCCUCAGCGGGGAGCCCUGUGCCCUCUAGAAUUCCCCUCCUUAUCCAAUCUUUGGAGUGUCUACCCCAACAGCUCAUGGAGGAGACCGGACCACCUUGCCCCCACGGGAGGAAGUCACGGCUCCAUGACCAGCAGCAGGCCAGCUCACCUGGACAGUCUCUAUGACAACAGAGAAGGUAUGGUCCUGGCAGUCCUGUGCCAGCAGAUACUGGCAAACUCCACUGAAGGUGAAGUACCUGUUGUCAAAGCUCUUGAAGUGGGAUUGUCCGGUCACGAGGCACUCCCCUGGAGGGACACAGAGGAGGAAGACAACAGGAUUUGGAAAGCUUCUGGGCUGGUGAAUGUAUCCACACACAGCAGGAUGGCACACCCCAAUUCCAUGGGGACAGAAGCUCCUAUGCUCAGGAUCCUUCUGGACUUUGCCCUAUGCACCUCUUCAUCUGGCUGUUGAUCUGUACCCUUUAUACUAUCCUUUAUAAUAAAUAGUAAUUUUAAGUAAA